rnacentral:lncRNA from 1 species
AUUUCAAGUGGACAGAAAGUUUGAGUAACCCAUUACUCAAAUGAGUAACCCAUUACUGAGAGCUGUUGGAAGUGUUUUUCAGAUUUCAAAGUGAAAGGUUUUCACUCCAAACGAAAUCUCUUCACUCCAAACAACUCAUACACUUUCAGAAACCUUCAAAUGGUGUUUAUAAACUCUAUAUAAAGGCUCUAAACUCUCACACAAACAUACACACAACUUUCAUACAAUUUUCUCUCAACUCUCAAAAGCUCUCACACUUUUUCUUAGAAUUUAUCUUUGAACUUUUUGCAAUUUGUUCUUAAACUUUCAAGUUAAUUUUGCAAAGUUGCUUCAAGUGUUUCAAAGACUUUUACAAAGAGCAUUAUAUACUUCUAUAUAUAUAUUCAGAGUUUUUGGAUUGCAAGUUACAUAAGUUUCAUACUUGUAAAGGCAAUCUGCCAUAGUUGAAUAUUCUUCAUUGUUGUAAAGAAUUCUUUCUUUCAUGGGGUGUGAAGAGAAAUGGGAAUAUAUUCAAUUCUUUCUUUCACGGGGUGUGAAGAGAAAGGGAAUUGAUUCACUUGGAAAGGGGUUUUCCAAUGGUAUAAGAAUUAGGGAGUGUGUAAGGUACAUAGAGAUCUCGGGGUGAGAUAUUGUAAUUACAACUCAUAAUUCUUGGUGGAAAAAUCUCUUGUGCGGCAAAAGUACUGGAUGCAACCUUCGGUGGACAGGAAGGUGAACCAGUAUGAAAACUCCUUGUAUACUCUCUUCUCCUUAUCUCUUUCAUUUUAUUUCCUAUUAUUUUUCUGCAUAUUGUUCCGCUGCACUUUAACUUUGAUUUUGCAGAAAAAACGGCCAUUAUUUUAAGACAACUAAUUCACCCUCCCUCUUAGUUGCACUCUGAUACUUACAAGGUACAUAUUACAACGAGUACAUCAACCGGUUUGGAUCAUUGUUUGUUUUUAUUCAUGGGGGUUAAGCUUGAAUAUAGUUUCUCUUAUGGAUGGUUAAAUAUUUUUUACUUAUGUCAAUAGUGAUUAAGCUUGAAGAUAGCUUCUUCAUGGAUUGCUAAGCGUUAUUGUCUUCAAUUUAUUUGGCCUAGAGCUUACAAAGUUGAUCAAUCAAUUUAGGAUUUUGUCAAUAUUUGCUACCACUACGUGAAGCUAAGUUUGGGGGACUCCAUAUAUUUAUUAUGGUUUGUGUUAUUUGUAACAAACUCAAAAGUAAGUUUUACCUUGGGAUGAGUAUUAAAAUAUAUGAAUGUGUCUUAGAAUAACUUAAAUUAUAUUAUAGAGAAUGUCUAGAUAAUACAUAGAUAUACAGAUAUAAUAUUUCAUAUUAUGAUGUUUAUAUCUUAGGUUUAUUUAGAGUAUAUCUUAGAAGAAAUUUUAAGAUUAAUAUUACUUUAUUUUAUAUUUUAUGAUUUAUUUCCUUAUAUAAUUAUAAGUCUACUGUUAGUAUAAAUAUGAGUUAAUAUUAUGUCUACAAAAAGGUUAAGGGUUCAAUCUAUGAGAGUCAUACUUGUUGGAAGGGGCAGUUUGGAAGUGCAAAAUGUAAAGGAUAGCACUAGCAUGUCUUUGCCUAUGUUUUGAUGAAGACAAAAGUUUAACAAAGCUUGAAGAUGACUCAACAAUCAAUAGGCCUUAUGAUCAUUUGGUCAUGUCUAGACUAGGAUAUAAGUCUAUAAUCUAAGUAGUCUGGGAUGUGUCCGUAGUAAUUGAGUAUAAGUUAGGUAAACCUAGAUGCUAGUCUCUUAAGUCAUCUUAAUUGAACUAUCAUAUUUAUGAGAUACAUCAUCUAGUUAAUUAUAUGUUCAUGCAUCAAUCAUACAUGUUAUAUGUGCAUAUUAGGCAUAAUAUAAUUGGUAAAACAUGUAUGUUUAUUGUGCAUAACAUAUGAGAAGUUUGCCAUUUGAAACAUAUGCAUAAAUGUCCCAAUUAAUCGAUUAACGUGGUAACUUAAUCUAUUAACCUAACUGAUUUUCUGUUGAAUAUGUGUUUUCUGUUUUAACUGAUUUAUGUGUCUUUCUAUUGGCCCGUUAAUCGAUUAAAUGGAAGUCUUAAUCGAUUAACUAAUCUAUUAUGUGUUGUAACUGAAAUCUGUUUUUGCUGUUGUAACUGCUUAACUGUUUAACUGUUUUUGCAACGAAUGAAAUCACUUAUUCUCCAUGCUAUAAAUACGAGGCUUCACUCAGAAACCUAUAGCAUUGCAUUUUAUUGUAUAGGGCUGUUUAGAGAGUAUUUUUGCAUACGUGUUUUACUAUUUUUCUGCAAGAGAGUUGNNNNNNNNNNNNNNNNNNNNNNNNNNNNNNNNNNNNNNNNNNNNNNNNNNNNNNNNNNNNNNNNNNNNNNNNNNNNNNNNNNNNNNNNNNNNNNNNNNNNUGCAUAGUUUCAUAUCCAUUCUUAUAUUGCUCACAUGAUCAUACAUUAGAUUUUGAUAUAAAGAAAUCAUUUGUAUACUGAUAUUGAUUAACUCACUUUUAUAUUGAUGGCUUAAGUGAUUAGAAUAAGGGUUAAUCUUUGAGUCUUUAUCUUGUAAUAUUUUAAGCAUUUCUAUGCUUAGUACCUUGCUGUUUAACGUGUUUUUAUGUAGUCUAGAUUCGUCUCUUGGUGUGAGAUCAUUACAGAGAUUGAAGUUCUUCACCAAGGCAGGGAGGUCUUGAUUUGAGGAUAAGAUUCUUGGCUGGGGCUAGUUCGCGAGAAAGGUUUUCUCACGAGGCGAAAGGGUAGAGUCAAACCAGGUUUUAGAGAUCCUAGAUUUCAAGAAGGGAGCGUCCUUGUACUUGUAAUUGAAUUGAUAUUUGUAUCCUUAAUUCAAUAUUGUGAAGAAAGAAAAUCUCUCUGAUCCAGAAGGGGAGACCUGGAUGUAGUUUGCAUUGUUCUUUCUCUCUUUAUCUUUCUUAUGUUUCUU